rnacentral:rRNA from 1 species
CAGUCGCCGCGGUAAUACGUAGGGUGCGAGCGUUAAUCGGAAUUACUGGGCGUAAAGGGCGUGUAGGCGGCCUGGGGCGUCCCAUGUGAAAGGCCACGGCUCAACCGUGGAGGAGCGUGGGAUACGCUCAGGCUAGAGGGUGGGAGAGGGUGGUGGAAUUCCCGGAGUAGCGGUGAAAUGCGCAGAUACCGGGAGGAACGCCGAUGGCGAAGGCAGCCACCUGGUCCACUUCUGACGCUGAGGCGCGAAAGCGUGGGGAGCAAACCGGAUUAGAUACCCGCGUAGUCCCUGUCUCUUAUAC